UUUCUCUCUCUAACUUCUCUCUAGCCUCCCUAAACCCCUCCCAAGUCUAGGGAACCUCCCUAUCACGAGAAGAAAGCCCCGGAGCGCCCGACGGCUCCGAGAAGAAAAGCUUUCGGCUCGGAAACGCUGCUCCAGCGAAGUCCGGUUUUUAAUAAAAACCCAUUGUAAGUGAGUUACGCCUAUACUAUAUUUAAUAUAGCUUUUAUUUAAUUAUAGUAACAUUAUUAGGACCUUAAAAUAAUUAUUUGGGCUAUUAUUAUGAGUUAUAUUGAGUGUUAUUUAACGCUUAUAUAAUAGUAAUAAUAGCUAGACUAUUAAUUAGUCGCGAUUAACGUUAAAACUAAACUCUAGUGGUAUUAAUACAAGGUUUUGGUCAAGGAAAAAUUGUUUUAAGAAGUAACGAAGAGCUGUCCGAGUGCCGAGUCACCACCUUACCAGGUGAGUGCAUAGUUACUUUCAGCUUACACAUAGAUAUGAAGUAUUUUAUAUAAAUUACGUGCUAUGUGUGCAUAUUAUCUGAAUACUUGCUAUCUAUGCUGGAUGAACAUUUUUAUACAUGUUUUCAAUGAUUUAAACUGUAUAUGUAUUUUAUAUCUACGAAAAUGUUGGGGUAAAACAUGGGUAGAUGUAAUAGCUGAUGUGUGAUAAAAUGAUGAGAGGCCUCGAUGUUGAUGUUGUUGAUUCUGUCAUCUAGCGGAGUAUGGAUGACGACCACGGACUCUUCUAGACAGUCCAGUGGAACACUAGCAGGCUCGCAACCUGUAGGUGUUUGUGAACGAUGUGUUCACCGGUGUACUCCAUCCCCCACAUGGUUGCCUUUAGGACAUUUAUUGCUAAGGAAUCCCCUUAGCAGUAGUGUCCGUCCCGAUGAUGAUCCUUAGGCUAGGUCCCUUAUGAUAGGUGUUUAGGGACGUAAAGUGAGGAUAACGGGAACGGGUAAUCGGGUUAUUGUUGAUUGAUGAAAUUAAUAAACUUAUUUAUUGUGGGUUGAAAACCCUAUGUGCUCACCAGGCUCCCAAGCCUGACCCACUCAGUUUUAUGUAUUACAGGUAGUGGCGCAUGAGCAUAGGUGUGAUGUUUUGGACGAGGGAUUACGGAUAUAGGCCUGUAGAUAUGAAAUAAUGUAGUAAGGCUUAUAUUGUACUGUUUAUGCUUUUGAUCUGUACGAACAUGACAUCCCG
rnacentral:lncRNA from 1 species